rnacentral:rRNA from 1 species
GACAGAGGUCCCGAGCGUUAGGCGGAAUCACUGGGCUUAAAGCGUGUGUAGGCGGAUGCCUAAGUACCUUGUGAAAUCCCACGGCUCACCCGUGGAACUGCUUGGUAUACUGGGUGUCUUGAGCCACUUAGGGGCUACCGGAACAAAUGGUGGAGCGGUGAAAUGCGUAGAUAUCUGGAGGAACACCGGUGGCGAAGGCGGCAUUCUGGACCGAAACUGACGCUGAGGCGCGAAAGCCAGGGGAGCAAACGGG